GAUAGCUCAGUUGGUUAAGAGUGUGGUGCUGAUGACGCCAAGGUUGCAGGUUCGAUUCCCUGCGCUUAUUCCUGCA